UGGGGAAUAUUGGACAAUGGGCGCAAGCCUGAUCCAGCCAUGCCGCGUGAGUGACGAAGGUCUUCGGAUUGUAAAGCUCUUUUUGGCGGGGACGAUAAUGACGGUACCUGAAGAAUAAGCCCCGGCAAACUUCGUGCCAGCAGCCGCGGUAAUACGAAGGGGGCUAGCGUUGUUCGGAAUUACUGGGCGUAAAGCGCACGUAGGCUGAUUGUUAAGUCAGGGGUGAAAUCCCAGAGCUCAACUCUGGAACUGCCCUUGAUACUGGCAAUCUCGAGUCCGGAAGAGGUUAGUGGAAUUCCCAGUGUAGAGGUGAAAUUCGUAGAUAUUGGGAAGAACACCAGUGGCGAAGGCGGCUAACUGGUCCGGUACUGACGCUGAGGUGCGAAAGCGUGGGGAGCAAACAGGAUUAGAUACCCACGUAGUCCCUGAGCGGGCUGGCAAGGCGCAU
rnacentral:rRNA from 1 species